UAAUGUCUGGGAAACUGCCUGAUGGAGGGGGAUAACUACUGGAAACGGUGGCUAAUACCGCAUAACGUCGCAAGACCAAAGAGGGGGACCUUCGGGCCUCUUGCCAUCAGAUGUGCCCAGAUGGGAUUAGCUUGUUGGUGAGGUAACGGCUCACCAAGGCGACGAUCCCUAGCUGGUCUGAGAGGAUGACCAGCCACACUGGAACUGAGACACGGUCCAGACUCCUACGGGAGGCAGCAGUGGGGAAUAUUGCACAAUGGGCGCAAGCCUGAUGCAGCCAUGCCGCGUGUAUGAAGAAGGCCUUCGGGUUGUAAAGUACUUUCAGCGGGGAGG
rnacentral:rRNA from 1 species